CCCAGCGUAAGAACCCGCAGAUUGAGAAUGUUCUGAUGAUGCUUCCCUCGAGCAUUCGCUGCACCGCUUGUAGCACUGUCAUGGCCAAAGGCACCAAGUUGAAUUCCAGCAAAGAAGAAGUCCUCGGCGAGGAGUUUUGGGAGGUUUGGAAAGAUCACACAUUCAGGAUUUUGCUUCAAUUGUACCCAGUGCUCGGCUGAGAUCGUCAUAAGGACAGACCCACAAUAUUCACACCUUGCUGUUGAGGCCGGUGCUUCGAAAUUUUGUAGUCAUUUUAUCCCUUGGCUUCCCUCUAGGGUUGAGGAGAAAGAGAAGUUGGUUCCUUACACGGACCCAAACUGGCAAGAGAUAGAAAAGAGAGGAGGUCUUAGUUAACAGGAUACAACAAAUUAUAGAUAAGCAUAUUCAGAAAAGGAAGAUUGAAGAAGCAGGAGAUGCCAUGAAAUCUUUGGAUUUCAAAAGAGUGAUUUAGCAGUUUUCCGUCAAGGUAGAUUCCUUAUUAUUUGUAAUCAGAUUCAUAGCCGAUCGAUGCUCCUACUCCUACAUUCCUUUGUUUAUGUUUGUUUAGGUAUUUCGAAUUCAAACACCUUACAAUUGACUAAAAACUAAUGUAUAAUGAUUAAGGAUUUACUUACCAUUGAUCACU